UCCAAAAACAUCGCUCUUUGAAAAGAUUUAACUAAUAUAUAAAGAGUCCUGCCUGCCCAGUGACGAAAGUUAAACGGCCGCGGUAUUUUGACCGUGCAAAGGUAGCAUAAUCAUUUGCCUUUUAAAUGGAGGCUAGUAUGAAUGGCAAGACGGGGGUUUAACUGUCUCUCUUUUAGGUUCUUGAAUUUAUUAUCUUUGUGAAGAAACGAAGAUAUAGUCGUAGGACGAGAAGACCCUAUCGAGCUUAAGUUAUUUAUUAAAGUUUAAAUUUUUUACUGUUGGGCUAAUAAAGCAAAAAGUUAAUUUUACCAAAUGGUAAAAACAGAUUGUUAUUAAAUCGCUUUGGUUGGGGCAACCACGGAGAAAAAACACCCUCCGCUUAAAUAAAUAGAAAAAUUACUAUUUUUAGAAAUAUUAAUAUUAAAAAGUGAUCCACUAAUAAGUGAUCAAAGGAACAAGUUACCGUAGGGAUAACAGCGUAAUUUUUUUGGAGAGUUCAUAUUGAUAAAAAAGUUUGCGACCUCGAUGUUGGAUCGGGACUUCCAGGGGAUGCAGCAGUCCCAAGGGUGGUC
rnacentral:rRNA from 1 species